UCUUUUCAGAAGAAGAAAAGACCCAGAAGCAUCUCUCCAACUGCCUCUCCUCCCACUCCGUCAUCUCUCCGUCCCCCCCCUGCCCGUAGAUCUUAAAUAACUGUCAACUUUGGCUGUUUAAGAUCUCGGCUGACAGCUUCCUGAAAUGAUUUUUGAGCGGGAAGCCAUAAUAUAUGAGUUGGAUAAAAUGUUAAGGAAGGAUCCCUUCAAGUGUCAAGCUUGUACCCCAGAUGUGCUUUCAGUUUCAGUGGAUGGAAAUUUUAAGUAUUACAUUUAAAGAAUGCAGCAAGAUUGGAGGAACAGGCUAUAUUUCAGGACCUUUUCAUGCCAAGGAUGAAAACGUAGGAACAUUUGUGGACUGUAUACACAAAUCAACCAAAAAUAUUUUGUGGUGGGCAAUGGUCUGCAGCCAGGGAGAUCUCUCACAGAUCCAGCAGCAAACUGGGUGAGGAGGCUUGGAGCUAGUGACUCUGUCAGUCUUCACACAAGAACAAGGGCAAUCAAUGACAUCAUGAUGGUAAAGAGACUGGAAGAGGAAAAGAGGAUCUUUGUUGAUGGACCAUCAUUGGAAAUCUCUGUCAUCCUAUGAAGACACUCUAAAGGAGUUUCCCACCUGUUAUCGGGAGGUAAAUUUAAAAGUUUGUCCUGUGACCUAACUGACGAAGGUCCAAGAGGUCUCCAGAGCAUCAUCCUCAGAGAGCUGCAGCACCAACAGAUGAAGCUGCAGGCAACAGAGUAUUAUCUACAGCAGGGGAGCCCAAAGUGGGUCCUGGAGGCCCUAGUGGCCCGGCAUCCUGCAUGUUUUAGUUCUCUCCCUGGUUUAA